rnacentral:rRNA from 1 species
GUUGACCUCGGAUCAGGUAGGGAUACCCGCUGAACUUAAGCAUAUCAAUAAGCGGAGGAAAAGAAACCAACAGGGAUUGCCCUAGUAACGGCGAGUGAAGCGGCAACAGCUCAAAUUUGAAAGCUGGCCUUCGGGUCCGCAUUGUAAUUUGUAGAGGAUGCUUUGGGUGAAACGCCAGUCUAAGUUCCUUGGAACAGGACGUCAUAGAGGGUGAGAAUCCCGUAUGUGACUGGAAAUGUUAACCUAUGUAAAGCUCCUUCGACGAGUCGAGUUGUUUGGGAAUGCAGCUCUAAAUGGGAGGUAAAUUUCUUCUAAAGCUAAAUAUUGGCGAGAGACCGAUAGCGCACAAGUAGAGUGAUCGAAAGAUGAAAAGCACUUUGGAAAGAGAGUUAAAAAGCACGUGAAAUUGUUGAAAGGGAAGCGCUUGCAAUCAGACUUGUUUAAACUGUUCGGCCGGUCUUCUGACCGGUUUACUCAGUUUGGACAGGCCAGCAUCAGUUUCGGCGGCCGGAUAAAGGCUCUGGGAAUGUGGCCUUCACUUCGGUGAAGGUGUUAUAGCCCAGGGUGUAAUACGGCCAGCCGGGACUGAGGUCCGCG